GACGAACGCUGGCGGCGUGCUUAACACAUGCAAGUCGAACGGAAAGGCCCUGCUUUUGUGGGGUGCUCGAGUGGCGAACGGGUGAGUAACACGUGAGUAACCUGCCCUUGACUUUGGGAUAAAUUCAGGAAACUGGGGCUAAUACCGGAUAGGAGCUCCUGAUGCAUGGUGGGGGUUGGAAAGUUUCGGCGGUUGGGGAUGGACUCGCGGCUUAUCAGUUUGUUGGUGGGGUAGUGGCUUACCAAGGCUUUGACGGGUAGCCGGCCUGAGAGGGUGACCGGCCACAUGGGGACUGAGAGACGGCCCAGACUCCUACGGGAGGCAGCAGUGGGGAAUAUGGCACAAUGGGCGGAAGCCUGAGGCAGCAGCGCCGCGUGCGGGAUGACGGCCUUCGGGUUGUAAACCGCUUUCGCCUGUGACGAAGCGUGAGUGACGGUAAUGGGUAAAGAAGCACCGGCUAACUACGUG
rnacentral:rRNA from 1 species